GUAAGUCUAGGGAAAAUGAAGAUCUUUAGUAUUGCAUUGUAGCGUAUUUGUAUUUUGGUGACACUUCAGCAUAAUAGAAAGAAUAAUUACCAGGACAAUUUCAACAGCACCGAUGAUAUACAUAGCAGCAGCUAGAGUAGUACCCGUGUAAAAGAGCAUUCCUACGGCACCACCGAAUUCUGGACCCAAACUUCUGGAUAUCAUGAAGUAAGACCCUCCAGCUGGUACGACGCCAUUAGUCGCGAUAGCACUCAUACUGAUAGCUGUCAGCAUCGUCUAUAUAGAGAAAUAUUUUUUGCUUAAAAUAAUCAAGCUCGGCCAUAAAUGAUUCAAUUUAUUACACGAUUAAUCAUGAGAUUAAUCCUUAAUUCGUGUCGCCAUUAAUCUCUACACGCAUUCAAUCAAUAUUGAUUGGAUCAAUUCAUAUCCAUUAUAUUGAAACUUCACUUACCACGCAACAACAACAUAACACGAUGAAGAAACCCUGAAAAGCGCCAGCGGUGCCAACGACCCAGGUCAAACGAAUGAAUAGAAUCACACCAAAGAUGUUUUGGAUGCAAGGUAGGAAGACACCGAUCAAAGUGCCCAUUCGUGCACCACCUUGCACGGGUGGAGGUUUCGCAUCCGGGUCGGUCGCAGCU